rnacentral:rRNA from 1 species
CGAAAGCCUGACGGAGCGACACCGCGUGAAGGAUGAAGCCUUUGUUGGUGUAAACUUCUUUUUUCUGGGAAGAUAAUGACGGUACCAGAAGAAUGAGGGGCGACAAACUUCGUGCCAGCAGCCGCGGUAAUACGAAGGCCCCAAGCGUUAUCCGGAAUUACUGGGCGUAAAGCGUCUGUAGGUGGUUUCUUAAGUCUUUCCGUGAAAAUCCAGGGCUCAACCCCGGACUGCGGGAAAAACUGGGAGACUAGAGUGUGGGAGGGGCUAGCAGAACGGUAAGAGUAGGGGUGCAAUCCGUUGAUACUUACCAGAAUACCAAAAGCGAAGGCAGCUAGCUGGAACACUACUGACACUGAGAGACGAAAGCGUGGGGAGCA